GAAGGGAGUGGGUUUAUUUUAGCAAUGUCAGCCCAUUGAGGUGCCGAAUGGCACGAGCUCUGAGCGGUGAGGAUACACCAGAGGAUGAUGAGGAGAUCUGCAUUGGCCCAUGUGGGAGGGCACUGCUUGGUGGUGGUCGGUGGUGGUCACGGUGGGUGUUUAGGGAUGAGCAGCAGAGGGUGAAGAGGCAGGACAUCAUUGGAACGCAGGCCCGAGGAGAGGGCCCCAGCAGGUAAGGGCACACUCUGGGGACACAGUGUAGGGUAUUAGCAGGUUGUCCUAUUGGCAGGGAUACAGGCAGGUGUUAAGGGGUGCAGGCAGCGGCAGGUGGGGAAGUGCAGGAGUCAAGUGGUGUAGGUGUCAAGUUGGGUAUUAUAGGUGCCAGGCUGGGUAGUGUAGGUGGCACUGGAGGUAGUGUGGGUGGCAAUUUGUCUAGCGUAGGUGUUAGGUUGUAUAACGAAGGUGUUAGGUUGGUUAGUGUCAGUGUUACUUUGGUUGUCAUAGGUAUUAGGCUGGAUACCGUAGGUGGCACUUUGGGAACAAUAGGUGUUAGGUUGGGUACCAUAGGUGGCACUUUGGGUACUAUAGGUGUUAGGUUGGAUACUGUAGGUGGCACUUUGCGUACUAUAGGUGUUAGGCUGGGUAUCGUAAGUGGCACUUAGGGUAGUGUAGGUGGCACUUGAGGUGGUGUUAGGUUGGAUAUCAUAGGUGUUAGGUUGGUUAGUGUCAGUGUUACUUUGGUUGUCAUAGGUAUUAGGUAUUAGGUUGGGUAUUGUAGGUGUCACUUUGGGUAUGACAGGUAUUAGGUUGGAUACCGUAGGUGGCACUUUGGGAACAAUAGGUGUCAGGCUGGGUAGUGUAGGUGGUACAUUGGGUAUUGUAGGUGUCAGGCUGGGUAGCGUAGGUGGCACUUGGGGUGGCGUUACGUUGGAUAUCAUAGGUGUUUGGUUGGGUGGUGUUGGUGUUACUUUGGGUAUCAUAAGUGUUAUGUUGGAUACUGUAGGUGGCACUUUGCGUACUAUAGGUGUUAGGCUGGGUAUCGUAAGUGGCACUUAGGGUAGUGUAGGUGGCAAUUGAGGUAGCACAGGUGUUAGGUUAGGGAGCACAUGGCACUUUGGGUGUGCUCAUGCAGCUGACGCAGGGCCAGCACAGCUUUAUUAGACUGGUUCCAUCAGAGGUGCUUGGAAGUGGAACAACUCGUGCUCAGCACUAAGGGCGUGCUGACAUGGGAGAUGGCAUCGUCCAGACGUGUGGACUGCCAGGUGCAUGGCGAUGUUUUGGGGCCUGGUGUCAGGGGGUCCUUAGGAAGCAGGUGAGGAGAAGGAGGAGCAGGACAAGGAAGAUGGA